rfam:Rhizobium sp. RT36D genome assembly, contig: Ga0136764_114
CCGCUGGUCCGGGCCCCUCUGGCAAGAGCCACCGGCUCUCUUGCGAUGUCGGACCGUUUCG